GAGUAACACGUGGGUAACCUGCCUGUAAGACUGGGAUAACUCCGGGAAACCGGGGCUAAUACCGGAUGCUUGAUUGAACCGCAUGGUUCAAUCAUAAAAGGUGGCUUUUAGCUACCACUUACAGAUGGACCCGCGGCGCAUUAGCUAGUUGGUGAGGUAACGGCUCACCAAGGCGACGAUGCGUAGCCGACCUGARAGGGUGAUCGGCCACACUGGGACUGAGACACGGCCCAGACUCCUACGGGAGGCAGCAGUAGGGAAUCUUCCGCAAUGGACGAAAGUCUGACGGAGCAACGCCGCGUGAGUGAUGAAGGUUUUCGGAUCGUAAAACUCUGUUGUUAGGGAAGAACAAGUACCGUUCGAAUAGGGCGGUACCUUGACGGUACCUAACCAGAAAGCCACGGCUAACUACGUGCCAGCAGCCGCGGUAAUACGUAGGUGGCAAGCGUUGUCCGGAAUUAUUGGGCGUAAAGCGCGCGCAGGCGGUUUCUUAAGUCUGAUGUGAAAGCCCCCGGCUCAACCGGGGAGGGUCAUUGGAAACUGGGGAACUUGAGUGCAGAAGAGGAGAGUGGAAUUCCACGUGUAGCGGUGAAAUGCGUAGAGAUGUGGAGGAACACCAGUGGCGAAGGCGACUCUCUGGUCUGUAACUGACGCUGAGGCGCGAAAGCGUGGGGAGCGAACAGGAUUAGAUACCCUGGUAGUCCACGCCGUAAACGAUGAGUGCUAAGUGUUAGAGGGUUUCCGCCCUUUAGUGCUGCAGCAAACGCAUUAAGCACUCCGCCUGGGGAGUACGGUCGCAAGACUGAAACUCAAAGGAAUUGACGGGGGCCCGCACAAGCGGUGGAGCAUGUGGUUUAAUUCGAAGCAACGCGAAGAACCUUACCAGGUCUUGACAUCCUCUGACAACCCUAGAGAUAGGGCUUCCCCUUCGGGGGCAGAGUGACAGGUGGUGCAUGGUUGUCGUCAGCUCGUGUCGUGAGAUGUUGGGUUAAGUCCCGCAACGAGCGCAACCCUUGAUCUUAGUUGCCAGCAUUCAGUUGGGCACUCUAAGGUGACUGCCGGUGACAAACCGGAGGAAGGUGGGGAUGACGUCAAAUCAUCAUGCCCCUUAUGACCUGGGCUACACACGUGCUACAAUGGGCAGAACAAAGGGCAGCGAAGCCGCGAGGCUAAGCCAAUCCCACAAAUCUGUUCUCAGUUCGGAUCGCAGUCUGCAACUCGACUGCGUGAAGCGGGAAUCG
rnacentral:rRNA from 2 species